UACGAAGGGGGCAAGCGUUGUUCGGAAUUACUGGGCGUAAAGCGCACGUAGGCGGACAUUUAAGUCAGGGGUGAAAUCCCAGAGCUCAACUCUGGAACUGCCUUUGAUACUGGGUGUCUUGAGUAUGGAAGAGGUGAGUGGAAUUCCGAGUGUAGAGGUGAAAUUCGUAGAUAUUCGGAGGAACACCAGUGGCGAAGGCGGCUCACUGGUCCAUUACUGACGCUGAGGUGCGAAAGCGUGGGGAGCAAACAGGG
rnacentral:rRNA from 1 species